UACGUAGGGUGCGAGCGUUAAUCGGAAUUACUGGGCGUAAAGCGUGCGCAGGCGGUGAUGUAAGACAGAGGGGAAAUCCCCGGGCUCAACCUGGGAACUGUCUUUGUGAAUGCAUGACUAGAGUACGGCAGAGGGGGAUGGAAUUCCGCGUGUAGCAGUGAAAUGCGUAGAUAUGCGGAGGAACACCGUUGGCGAAGGCAAUCCCCUGGGCCUGUACUGACGCUCAUGCACGAAAGCGUGGGGAGCAAACAGG
rnacentral:rRNA from 1 species